GAAAUACAUAUACUGAGCAACUAUUUCUGUAGGUUAUAUAGAGAGAUAUUGGUUUUUAGCUGUAGCAGUAAUAAGUUUUUAAGCAAAAUAAAUAUGAACAUUUUUUUAUUCUUAGUUUUUUGCUUCAAUGAAUUUUAUUCUUUUUAGUCAUACUGAGGAAAGUAACUGGAAACUUGUUUCACACACAUCUGAUUUGUGCCAAGCUGGUUGUAGAUGGAUACUCAGCCAACCCUCAGAAUAUACCCUUCUAUGCUUGUAGAUAUCACAACAAGGUGGGAAAAGGCUAUCAGACCAGCCCAAAACCACCUCUUCCUGAGCCCUGGAGAAAGAUAUUGUUGGUGUUAAAAAUCACCAUUAUACUAGACAGUGUUGUGGUUAUCCUAACGAUAAUAUAAACCAAGGGAAAGCAGUCUCUCAGAGAAAGAAUUUAUCAUACGUGUGGUCCAAAUAAAGAAUACAUUAAAGUUUAGUAUCUUCAAAAAGAAGAUCCAUACCUAAAUGCUGCAACCAGCUCUACCUACAAGGUAUUCUAUAUUCGUGGGACCCUGAAGACUGCUACCACACAUCAUUUUGUUUCUCUCUAUUAGGAGCACAUUGCAGAAUGCCUAUAUUCCCCAACAUAUGUUCAGGGGCCAUGGAGGGUACGCAACCUCAUUGUUAUAGAUGUCCCUUGCUUCUUCACACAGCAGGUUUCACUUUUAGUUUUGGGGACUGCAAAGCUAAGAUGCUGAUCACAAACAACCACAUGGCUGCUUCACUAUCUAAUAAGGUGGCUUUGAUGUUCUGAUUGAAGACUGUUUGAGCCUGCUGGUGCUGCAAGGAGAGCAGGAGAAGUAAAGGUCUUUGCUCCUCUCAUCUCGGGUCCUCCUGUCAGCAGCCUUUCUACCAUCCAAAGCUGGAGCCAGCAUCCUCGAAUGAGUGCUGUUGCCACUGCUUCAUUUCAUUCUAGGAUGAAACAGAAUGGCAGAGGAAUUUUCUCCUGCUGAUAAUCCUCUUUGUGAAACAGUGCUAUGCCAAGUGCUCAGGACGCUGUUUCUUCAUCAAAGUCCAGCAUGAGGAAUGGAGCUCUACUUAUAAACUACUCUACUACCCUUUGUUAUAUUGCUUUGCAAUACGUGCACUGUUAAGGGAUGGAUUAGCCCACUGUCAUAUAAUCUGUGGCGCUGCAUGGUUUCCUCUUCACUGGACCACUGAGAGACUCAACACU
ensembl:lncRNA